rnacentral:rRNA from 1 species
UUGAACGCUGGCGGCUAUGCCCUUACACAUGCAAGUCGAACGGCAGCGCGGGCUUCGGCCUGGCGGCGAGUGGCGAACGGGUGAGUAACAUAUCGGAACGUGACCUGGAGUGGGGGAUAGCUCGGCGAAAGCCGGAUUAAUACCGCAUACGAUCUACGAUGAAAGUGGGGACCGCGAGGCCUCCACGCUCGUGGAGCGGCCGAUAUCUGAUUAGCUAGUUGGUGGGGUAAAGGCCUACCAAGGCAUCGAUCAGUAGCUGGUCUGAGAGGACGACCCAGCCACACUGGGACUGAGACACGGCCCAGACUCCUACGGGAGGCAGCAGUGAGGAAUUUUGGACAAUGGGCGCAAGCCUGAUCCAGCAAUGCCGCGUGAAGUGAAGAAGGCCUUCGGGUGUGUAAAGCUCUUUUGUCAUGGAAGAAAAGGGCGGGGGCUAAUAUCCUCUGCCGAUGACGGUACCUGAAGAAUAAGCACCGGCUAACUACGUGCCAGCAGCCGCGGUAAUACGUAGGGUGCAAGCGUUAAUCGGAAUUACUGGGCGUAAAGCGUGCGCAGGCGGGUUGUGUCAAGACAGAUGUGAAUCCCCGGGCUCAACCUGGGAAUUGCAUUUGUGACUGCACGGCUAGAGUGUGUCAGAGGGGGUAGAAUUCCACGUGUAGCAGUGAAAUGCGUAGAGAUGUUGGAGGGAAUACCGAUGGCGAAGGCAGCCCCCUGGGAUAACACUGACGCUCAUGCACGAAAGCGUGGGGAGCAAACAGGAUUAGAUACCCUGGUAGUCCACGCCCUAAACGAUGUCUACUAGUUGUCGGGUCUUAAUUGACUUGGUAACGCAGCUAACGCGUGAAGUAGACCGCCUGGGGAGUACGGUCGCAAGAUUAAAACUCAAAGGAAUUGACGGGGACCCGCACAAGCGGUGGAUGAUGUGGAUUAAAUUCGAUGCAACGCGAAAAACCUUACCUACCCUUGACAUGGAUGGGAAGCCUGCAGAGAUGCGGGCGUGCCCGAAAGGGAGCCAUCACACAGGUGCUGCAUGGCUGUCGUCAGCUCGUGUCGGUGAGAUGUUGGGUUAAGUCCCGCAACGAGCGCAACCAUUGUCAUUAGUUGCUACGAAAGGGCACUCUAAUGAGACUGCCGGUGACAAACCGGAGGAGAGGAGGUGGGGAUUACGUCAAGUUCCUCAUGGCCCUUAUGGGUAGGGCCUUCACACGUCAUACACUUGUGACCUACAGAGGGCUGCCAACCCGCGAGGGGGAGCUAAUCCCAGAAAGUGCUAUCGUAGUCCGGACUGCAGUCCUGCAACUCGGACUGCAUGAAGGUUGGAAUCGCUAGUAAUCGCGGAUCAGCAUGCCGCGGUGAAUACGUUCCCGGGUCUUGUACACACCGCCCGUCACACAUGGGAGCGGGUUUUACCAGAAGUGGGUAGCUUAACCGCAAGGAGGGCGCUCUACCACGGUAGGAUUCGUGACUGGGUGA